rnacentral:rRNA from 1 species
UACGGAGGGAGCUAGCGUUGUUCGGAAUUACUGGGCGUAAAGCGCACGUAGGCGGCUUUGUAAGUUAGAGGUGAAAGCCCGGGGCUCAACCCCGGAAUUGCCUUUAAGACUGCAUCGCUUGAAUCCAGGAGAGGUGAGUGGAAUUCCGAGUGUAGAGGUGAAAUUCGUAGAUAUUCGGAAGAACACCAGUGGCGAAGGCGGCUCACUGGAGCUGGUAUUGACGCUGAGGCGCGAAAGCGUGGGGAGCAAACAGG